UACGGAGGAUGCGAGCGUUAUCCGGAUUCAUUGGGUUUAAAGGGUACGUAGGUGGCCCUGUAAGUCAGUGGUGAAAACCUGCCGCUUAACGGUAGGCGUGCCAUUGAUACUGCGGGGCUUGAGUACAGAUGAGGUAGGCGGAAUGUGUAGUGUAGCGGUGAAAUGCAUAGAUAUUACACAGAACUCCGAUUGCGAAGGCAGCUUACUAAACUGCAACUGACGCUGAUGUACGAAAGCGUGGGUAGCGAAC
rnacentral:rRNA from 1 species